AUUGAACGCUGGCGGCAUGCCUUACACAUGCAAGUCGAACGGCAGCACGGGGCAACCUGGUGGCGAGUGGCGAACGGGUGAGUAAUGCAUCGGAACGUACCUUUCAGUGGGGGAUAACGUAGCGAAAGUUACGCUAAUACCGCAUAUUCUGUGAGCAGGAAAGCAGGGGAUCGCAAGACCUUGCGCUGAUUGAGCGGCCGAUGUCAGAUUAGCUAGUUGGUGAGGUAAAGGCUCACCAAGGCGACGAUCUGUAGCGGGUCUGAGAGGAUGAUCCGCCACACUGGAACUGAGACACGGUCCAGACUCCUACGGGAGGCUGCAGUGGGGAAUUUUGGACAAUGGGGGCAACCCUGAUCCAGCCAUGCCGCGUGAGUGAAGAAGGCCUUCGGGCUGUAAAGCUCUUUCGGCCGGGAAGAAAUCGCACGGGCUAAUACCCUGUGUGGAUGACGGUACCGGAAUAAGAAGCACCGGCUAACUACGUGCCAGCCGCCGCCGUAAGAC
rnacentral:rRNA from 1 species